rnacentral:rRNA from 1 species
UGGGAAUUUUGGACAAUGGGCGCAAGCCUGAUCCAGCCAUGCCGCGUGCGGGAAGAAGGCCUUCGGGUUGUAAACCGCUUUUGUCAGGGAAGAAAUCUUCUGAGUUAAUACCUCGGGAGGAUGACGGUACCUGAAGAAUAAGCACCGGCUAACUACGUGCCAGCAGCCGCGGUAAUACGUAGGGUGCAAGCGUUAAUCGGAAUUACUGGGCGUAAAGCGUGCGCAGGCGGUUUUGUAAGACAGAGGUGAAAUCCCCGGGCUCAACCUGGGAACUGCCUUUGUGACUGCAAGGCUUGAGUGCGGUAGAGGGGGAUGGAAUUCCGCGUGUAGCAGUGAAAUGCGUAGAUAUGCGGAGGAACACCGAUGGCGAAGGCAAUCCCCUGGGCCUGCACUGACGCUCAUGCACGAAAGCGUGGGGAGCAAAACAGGAUUAGAUAGCCCUGGUAGUCCACGCCCUAAACGAUGUCAACUGGUUGUUGGGAAGGUUCCUUCUCAGUAACGUAGCUAACGCGUGAAGUUGACCGCCUGGGGAGUACGGCCGCAAGGUUGAAACUU